GCUGAAAGAAAAAGAACAAGGGAGCUGAUGUCAGGUCUCAGUUCAGAAGUUGAGAGGUGGAACCAGACUCUGCCUCCCCCAUGCCUGCACCUGAGCAGCUCCCCAUCACCAGACAAAAGCACACAACUGACUUUAUUUCAUUUUACAAGUACGACAAUAUGUCUCCUUUGGACACUCAACCCUGCUUGACAGUCUUAUUAUAAUUCCCCAGCACAGUCAUCUGGUCACUUUCUAAAACAACCAUUCACUCCUUCUCUUGUCUGGUUUCUGAUCGUGCCAGCGAUCAAAAGAAGGACGAAGGACGAUUAAACACAUCCUUACUUUAUUCCAUUUCUGUGUGAAGACCUGUAUGAACAUGAAAAUUAUUUUAGGAUAAGUACCUGUGCAAAAAAAAAAGUCAACAUUUUUUUUUGUGACUGAGGAAGCUGUCAUAGUAAGUGAGUUGUCUCUGAAAUAUGUAAAACCUUUUUCAUAUGUAAAUAAAGUAAAACCUGGCAGCUUAGCCA